rnacentral:tRNA from 1 species
UAGCUCAGUUGGUAGAGCAUGGUGUUUGCAACGCCAGGGUUGUGGGUUCGAUUGCCAC